AAUGGGGGCAACCCUGAUCCAGCCAUGCCGCGUGAGUGAAGAAGGCCUUCGGGUUGUAAAGCUCUUUCGGCCGGGAAGAAAUCGCAUGGGUGAAUACCCUGUGUGGAUGACGGUACCGGAACAAGAAGCACCGGCUAACUACGUGCCAGCAGCCGCGGUAAUACGUAGGGUGCGAGCGUUAAUCGGAAUUACUGGGCGUAAAGCGUGCGCAGGCGGUUAUGUAAGACAGAUGUGAAAUCCCCGGGCUCAACCUGGGAACUGCGUUUGUGACUGCAUAACUAGAGUACGGCAGAGGGAGGUGGAAUUCCGCGUGUAGCAGUGAAAUGCGUAGAUAUGCGGAGGAACACCGAUGGCGAAGGCAGCCUCCUGGGCCAGUACUGACGCUCAUGCACGAAAGCGUGGGGAGCAAA
rnacentral:rRNA from 1 species